UACAGGGGGGGCAAGCGUUGUUCGGAAUUACUGGGCGUAAAGGGUUCGUAGGUGGCCACCUAAGUCAGACGUGAAAUCCCUCAGCUUAACUGGGGAACUGCGUGUGAUACUGGAUGGCUUGGAUUUGGGAGAGGGAUGCGGAAUUCCAGGUGUAGCGGUGAAAUGCGUAGAUAUCUGGAGGAACACCGGUGGCGAAGGCGGCAUCCUGGACCAAUAUUGACGCUGAGGAGCGAAAGCCAGGGGAGCAAACGGG
rnacentral:rRNA from 1 species